AGGCGAUAUCACAGUAUUUGUACCUCCAACCCAGAAGCGACAUUCUUCAUCCUUGUGAUGUCAUGGAGGAUGUUGCAAUUGCAUAUGGAUAUAAUAAUAUCCCAAAGCGAAGUCCUGCAUCUUUGAAGCCAUUAGCCUUGAAUGA